CUAGCUCCUAGGGCCCUUCAAACUUUUGGCUCUUCCCUCUUGAAAGCCAAGAAUGGCACGUUGAGUCUUCACAUCACCGCUGUCUUGCUCUGUCAUCACAACCUCUCUGAUGUUGACUCACCUGCCUUCUUCCUAUAAGGACUAUUGUGAUUAGAUUGGACCCAUCUGGAUAUUACAGAAUACUAUCUUGUACCAAGUUCAGCUAAUUCCUUUAAGCUUUGGCAGAAAUUAACAAAAGUAAAGCAAGUACACCAGAGACUGAGAAAUAAGUCUACCUAUUAAGACAGACUCAACCAGGAAGUAUAAAAAAGAAGUUGAUGCAACUAAGGAUUAAGUGUCUACUAUUUUUCUUUUUGAAGUUACCAUGGGAAACUCAGGCUAUUCCUAUGUAGUGAAAAAGUGUUAAAGAAUUAUGCUGGACACGUAUGAUUCCUCCCUCUACUACAUCGUUCUAAGAAGAUCAAGUAAAGUUUGUGUUAGUAUUUUUGUGUCUAAAGCACCAAAAUUCUCUGAAUCUAUGGAUUCAUUGAGGGUCCAGGUGAUAUAAACUAGAUAUUCUUUAUAUUAAAAAUAACCUGAUCUAGUUGCCUCUGAUUAGACACAAACCCUAAUUUUCUUCUACUUGAUUCCAAGAGGCAAUUUGCAUGAUUCCUAGAGAUGUAAUAGGAGAGCAAGUGAAUAUUUCUAUUAAUUAAAGUGCAUGCUUUAAUUAAUGUGCAUUAAACAUCAUCAGAGAGUUCUGGAAGUAAAGGCAGGGAAAGGAAGUAGAUCUAUUCAUGGUUGCCCUUUAGGGCUCAAUGAGGUUUUACUGCCAUUUUCCUCACAGCUUGACAGAAGCAAAGUAAUGGUGAAGAGGUCUGUGGUCCCUCUUUGCAGCCUCCUGGCUAAAUAAAGCUAAUGAAGUAGAAAAAUGUUAUUGAUAAAACUAGCCUGUGUUUCACAAUACACCCCUUCAGCUGGAAACUGUUCAGUGUUUGUGUUAAUCUGUUCUGACCUCAAUCAUCUUUCUUUUUUUGGCUUCCAAAUGCUAAAUGGUGGCUUGUUAUUUGUCCUCAAUAAGCUGAAAAAUAAUCCCACUCUUAAGUUCCCCACAAUACUUCAAUACAGUGUAUAAAGGCAAAACCAACAAUAUGCAUUUUUUUUUCUGUAAGGAGAUAAAAGGAUUAUAUGGAUUUUUCAAGACUUAAUGGUAGAAAAGCCUUAGAAAUAACUGUUUCAGUUGAUAGCUCCAUUAGUGUAAAUCUUUUGACUCCCAUUUCUUUAAAUACAACACUGAACUAAAAAUGGACUGUUGUAAAAUUAUGUACAAAAUGAAAUGUUAAUUCCAGUCCCAUACUAAUUAAUUUGAGUGAAAAUUUCUUGACAGCAGAGGUUUCAUUUCUUGUUUUCCAUUGUAUCUGCAAGAACACAGAAGAGUGUCUAAUGCAUGGUAAAUGCUCAAAAAUAUCCAAAUAGAUUUCAAGAAUAUAGAUACUUCACUGCACUACUCCGUUGCUAAUUUUGUCACUAUUCUGUUCACUCUUUUCUAAGAAAAUGCUUUAUUUUACUGUUUUAAAUUUUAUUUUAAAGCCCUGUGUUAUUUUACAAACCAUAGAAGUGUCUUUGAUUCAGAUACUCCAAAUUAUGGCAAAGUGAACUGGAUAUGGUAAGUCAUUUUCGAGAGGAUUUUAAACAUACUUGUCCUCAACAUUCGAUGGAGAAUUUAUUGAACAACUAACAAAAGUGCCUGAAAGUUAGCUUAUCACUCAGCCAGAGAACUACAAGGCCAUAUCAGUUAAGCCUUGGCAUUUCUAUCUAGUGAUAUGCCGAAUCGGCCUCCAAAAAAUGGUUGUGCGAAGUUAAAGAAUUUAUAUCAAAAGCAUCGUGCAGGAAUCCCUGAAAAUGUGUAAUAUCCAUCUAAAGAACUGUGCUUAAUAUCUAACUAUAGGGUUGGUUAAAAAAAUAGCAAGGCUUAAAAAUAUACUACAUCCGAGGCAUUUCAAAGCAGAGAGCCACAGCAAUGCACCUUUGUAACAAUUCACCCAGAUUUUCUAAGUUUCCCUAUCCUGCUGAUUAUUAACAGAUUGUUAUUACUGAAUAUUUAAUAGAGACAAAAAUAUUUCAUGUUAAAUGAGAAUCAGUAAAAACAAUGUACAAACGAACAGGUGAUCAUUUUCAUCAGAAACUUUUCUGCUUCUUAUCUUUGUGAAAAGAGCACACUUCUUUUGUUGUUAUAAUUUUAACUGAAUUUUAAGAAGAAACUGAUGAAAUUCAUUUAAAACACUGUCAACUGUUCUUUAGGGACAGCUUCGUUAAGGGCUGGCUCUAAUCCAAGGCUUUGCCUCUAAGCCAAGUUUCCAGGGUUCAUAUAAAGUUUUCGGAUUAGUUCUAUUGUAACACUUUAAAAUUGCUAUCUCUUUUGUUUAGGUAAUUUGCCCCAAUAUAUUAUUGUACUAAGAUGUUGGAAAUAAAAUCAUAUACACUGUGACAAAAAUCAAGAAGACUAAAUAACUUAUAUUUUAAUAGUCAUUAAAGUUCAAACAUAUUGAGCCAUGAGGGUUAUUAUUAGCAGGGUGGAAAACAGCAGGCAUGCAAAUGAUAGAAUACAGACCAUUUCCAUUGCUACUGCAUGCAUUAAAAUUAUUGAUUUUAAAUUGGUCAAAUGGACUGGGACUGGAAGUGAUUAUUUUGGCCUAUGACUAUUAGACAUAUGGUGGUUAGUCAUAGUAAUGACUACUGUUUACUUAGCUUCUACUAUGUACCCCAAUGUAUGUACUAAGAUUUUAAUUCCACAGAUGAGAAACAUAAAACUCAAGGUAACUGC
rnacentral:lncRNA from 10 species